GAUGAACGCUAGCGGCAGGCCUAAUACAUGCAAGUCGAACGGUGUCUUCGGACAUAGUGGCGCACGGGUGCGUAACACGUAUGCAACCUACCUUACAUUGGGGGAUAGCCUUUCGAAAGGGAGAUUAAUACCGCAUAAGACAGUAGCUGGGCAUCCAGCAGCUGUUAAAGAUUUAUCGAUGUAAGCUGGGCAUGCGUCCAAUUAGCUAGUUGGUGGGGUAACGGCUCACCAAGGCAAUGAUUGGUAGGGGAACUGAGAGGUCAAUCCCCCACACUGGCACUGAGAUACGGGCCAGACUCCUACGGGAGGCAGCAGUAGGGAAUAUUGGGCAAUGGACGCAAGUCUGACCCAGCCAUGCCGCGUGCAGGAUGAAGGUCCUCUGGAUUGUAAACUUCUUUUAUCAGGGGCGAAAAAAGGGAAUUCUUUCUCGUCUGACGGUACCUGAUGAAUAAGCACCGGCUAACUCCGUGCCAGCCGCCGCCGUAAGAC
rnacentral:rRNA from 1 species